UUNUAGUAAUCUGCUCAUGAAUAUUUAAAUAGCCGCAAUUAUUUUGUGCUAAGGUAGCAUAAUCAUUUGUCUUUUAAUUAAAGACCGGAACGAAUGAUUUAACAUUUUAACUUCUAUAAUAAAUUCAUUCUUUAAAAUUAUUUUAAGUAUAAAAAAAUACUUAUACAUAAAAAAGACAACAAGACCCUAUUGAACUUUACUUUAGUUAAACUGGGGCAGUUAAUUAAAUAUUAUUUUAAUUUAAAAUAAUCAUAAAAUGACCCAAUCAAAUUGAUUACUUGAACAAGUUACCAUAGGGAUAACAGCGUAAUAAUUUUCUAAAGAUCCUAUUUAAAAAAUUGAUUGCGACCUCGAUGUUGAAUUAAUUAUCUCCUUUACGCAAUAGUAAAGAAAGAAAGUCUGUUCGACUUUUAAUUUUUUACAUGAUCUGAGUUCAAACCGGAGA
rnacentral:rRNA from 1 species